GACGAACGCUGGCGGCGUGCUUAACACAUGCAAGUCGAACGAUGAAGCCUAGCUUGCUAGGUGGAUUAGUGGCGAACGGGUGAGUAAUACGUGAGUAACCUACCUUUAACUCUGGGAUAAGCCCGGGAAACUGGGUCUAAUACCGGAUACGACCAAUCUCCGCAUGGGGUGUUGGUGGAAAGCGUUAUGUAGUGGUUAUAGAUGGGCUCACGGCCUAUCAGCUUGUUGGUGAGGUAACGGCUCACCAAGGCGACGACGGGUAGCCGGCCUGAGAGGGUGACCGCCCACAUUGGGCCUGAGACACGCCCCAGCCUCCUCCGGGGGGCAGAGGUGGGAAAUAUUGCACAAGGGGCGCAGCCCGGAGGCAGCGGCGCCGCGGGGGGGAUGACGCCUUUCGGGUUGUAACCCUCUGUAAGCGGGGAAGAAGAGAGAUUGACGGUACCUGAAGAAAAAGCGCCGGCUAACUACGGG
rnacentral:rRNA from 1 species